rnacentral:tRNA from 2 species
GGAAGAGUCGGAUAAUGGUUAUUCCAACGGAUUGCUAAUCCGUGACCCUUUUGGGUCUUGCGGGUUCGAAUCCCGCCUCUUCCGCCA